rnacentral:rRNA from 1 species
GAUGAACGCUGGCGGCGUGCCUAAUACAUGCAAGUCGAGCGAACGGACGAGAAGCUUGCUUCUCUGAUGUUAGCGGCGGACGGGUGAGUAACACGUGGAUAACUUACCUAUAAGACUGGGAUAACUUCGGGAAACCGGAGCUAAUACCGGAUAAUAUUUUGAACCGCAUGGUUCAAAAGUGAAAGACGGUCUUGCUGUCACUUAUGGAUGGAUCCGCGCUGCAUUAGCUAGUUGGUAAGGUAACGGCUUACCAAGGCAACGAUGCAUAGCCGACCUGAGAGGGUGAUCGGCCACACUGGAACUGAGACACGGUCCAGACUCCUACGGGAGGCAGCAGUAGGGAAUCUUCCGCAAUGGGCGAAAGCCUGACGGAGCAACACCGCGUGAGUGAUGAAGGUCUUCGGAUCGUAAAACUCUGUUAUUAGGGAAGAACAUAUGUGUAAGUAACUGUGCACAUCUUGACGGUACCUAAUCAGAAAGCCACGGCUAACUACGUG